CAUACAAGGCCUUGCGCAAUCCAGUAUGCUUGUUCUCUUUCAUAUGGGUUAUAUUGGCUUAUUUCACUCUUUGGAUGCUAUUCUGAUGCCAUUCUUUGAAUUAUUUUAUGUAAUCUUUUUAAUCUUUAGGCACAUACUGCUAUAUUUCCCCGUUCAUACUGUUACAAGGAUGCUGGAGAUACCUCAUUAGGUGAGAAACUCUAAAUGUAGAUGCAGGUUUCUCUGCUUUGGCAAUUUUAACAUGCAUAGUAAGUCACUUGGACGUGGAACAUUUAAGAAGGGCUGUGAGAGGUUUAUUUCACCGAUAUAUUCCAUGUAAAAUUAGGAAUAGAGGAUUUCUAUUAUUUAGGAAUAUUUAUAGAG
rnacentral:misc_RNA from 1 species